rnacentral:tRNA from 1 species
GCCACCGUAGCUCAGUUGGCAGAGCAGUCGCUUCGUAAGCGACGGGUCAUGGGUUCGAGUCCCAUCGGUGGCUCCA